rnacentral:lncRNA from 1 species
AGGUAGCUUUUAUCCAAUUCAACAUUAUCUUACAAUAAAAUUCCAAAAACUUGAGCCAAAACCAGUAAAACUUUUGAGCUUCAUUACAGCCAAGCAGGUAGCACCUGUCAUUGCACCAGCAAACUGAACUCAACAUGCUAACAGAACAUAUCUACCAUCUAGGCUAAUAAAUCUGCAGCUUGCAAUUUCAGUCCUUGGAAAAAGGGCCCAGGGCCAAAAUGAACUGGAUAGUGGUAUUGACAUUAAACUUGAACAAGAGGACUCACCACAGUAACAUCAAUUUUGGAUGGGUUAAAAUUUAUCAUAGAAAAAUGCCAAGAACCGAGAUAAACAACAUUCAUGUGAAGCAAUUUUGAAAUUCCAAGAACUUAUGACUGUUUUGUUAAUGUUACAGUAUCCAAUUUAGGAAGUUAUAUAAUUUAGGACUCUAUCAAUAUUAGCUGUACAGAUUGACUUACUAUGUAUAGAUGCUGAAUAUUAAGAAUCAGUUAGACUCCGUGUAUAGCAUAUACUUCUGUAUAUAGAUGGAUGCAGAGGAUAAUAAAGGUGAGGUGAGUUCUUGGUUUCUGUGGGGUUUUCUGUUUUCUGAGUGUUUGACAUGGUAUUAGAGCGAGGUUUCGGCGCCUUCUGAGUGGAGUUUGUGCUUCUUGGAGGUUUCAGCACUUCCUGUUGGUGAUUUGUGGUUUUUUGGUGAUUGCUGUGGGUGUUUUUCUGGGUUUCGAUCCCUUCAGUAGCUGCGUUUGAGGGAUGUAUCUCAGCAGCCUUUGGAUCACUGAUGAUAUGCAUCACGUUGAGGCCGGCAAUAACUCCCGCAUCCUUGGUGACUUGACGCUGAGAGUCAUUGAAGUAGGCAGGCACUGUAACAACAGCAUUCUUCAAGUUGAACCGAGGUGACUGAGAUCUUGGGCUUGUCACCAGAACCAAGACCAGGAACGACCUUGAAUGACCAGUGCUUGAGAUCACUCUGAACCGAGGCAUCAGAGAAUCUUCUACCAAUCAACGUUUGGCAUCGAAAACAGUGUUGAUCGGGUUCAUCGCGACCUGGUUCUUGGCCGUUUCUAUUCCAAUUUUCUGGUGGGCUAUUUCCUUGUCUCUUGGUUGCAUCAUGUCAUCAGAUAAGUUGAAAUCAUUUCCUAUUAGAUUUGCUGGCAAAAAUUAUUGUGCUUGAGAGUUUCAAUUUAAAUUAUUUGUCAAAGGAAAAGAAUUAUGGGGUCAUAUUGAUGGGAGUAAUCCUGCACCUCGUGAUGCCGAGGCUUUGUCUAAGUGGGAAAUUAAGGAUGCUUGGGUUAUGACCCGGAGCCUUAGCUCAGUUGAACCUCACCUUGUUCUCAAUCUGAGGCCUUAUAAAACUGCUACUGCUAUGUGGAAUUAUCUCCACACGGUUUACAAUCAAGACAACUCUGCUAAGCAUUUUCAAUUGGAGUAUGAAAUGGCUAAUUUCACACAAGGAAGUCUCUCAAUUGAGGAAUAUUUUUCUGGUUUUCAAACUCUUUGGACUAAUUAUUCCGACAUUGUUUAUGUAAAUGUUCUUGCUGCAGCUCUCUCUGCUAUCCAAGCAAUGCAUGCAACCAACAAGCGAGAUCAAUUCUUGAUGAAGCUAUGACCCGACUUUGAAAUUACACUGUUUAAUCUGAUGAAUUGUCAUCCUGUACCAUCUCUAGAUGCCUACUUGAGUGAACUUCUGCAUGAGGAGCAGCAUAUCGUAACUCAAGCUACCAUGGAACAUCGAGCUAAUGUUAGUGCACCUGUUUUUGUGGCUUAUGCAGCACAAAAUCGGAAUAAGGGUCGAGACAUGUGUGUUGUCCAGUGCUUUAGUUGUAAAGAUUUUGGUCAUAUUGCUCGGGAUUGUCCCAAGAAGUUCUGUAACUACUGUAAGAAAUAAGGUCAUAUCAUCUCUGCUUGUCCCAUUCGGCUUGAAAGGAAGCAGGGUACUACUUAUCAUGCCUCCAUUGGUGCCUCUAGUUCUGUUGCAUUGCCUAUUGCCUCGUCGGUUGUUCCUAUUCCUGCUCCUACAGCCUUAGCAAACCCGAACAUACUUACUCCUUAAAUGGUACAACAAAUGAUCAUUUCUGCUUUUUCUGCUUUUGGGCUCCAGGUAAUCAUACGGUUUCUUUUAAGCCAUGGUAUUUUGACUCUGGAGCCUCUAACCAUAUGACGAAUAUUGUUCUUUCUCUUUCCAAUGUCAGAAAUUAUGAUGGAAAUCUGAAAAUUAACACCGUUGAUGGUAGUUCUCUGCCUAUCAGUGUUGUUGGUGAUGUUUUCUCUUCCUUAACUAAUGUUUUUGUGUCUCCUGACCUCUCCACAAAUCUUAUUUUUGUUGGUCAAUUGGUUGAUAACAAUUGUAAUGUCAAUUUCUCCCGUUCUGGUUGUGUUGUGUAGGAUCAAGUGUUAGGGAAGAUGAUCGUGAAGGGGCCUAAAGUGGGACGACUCUUUCCUCUUCAUGUUUCUCCUUCCACUAUUAUUCCUAGUUUUCCUUUACUUUCCUUUGCAUGUAAUGUUGAUGGUUCUAGACAUAAGAUGUGGCAUAGAUGUCUUGGCCACCCCAACUCUGAUGCACUUCGUACUUUGUUUAAUUCUGGAUUAUUGGGAAAUAAAGCAUGUUCUUCUCUUGAUCUUUCUUUCGAUUGUACGUCAUGCAAACUUGGCAAAAGUAAAGUUCUACCUUUUCCUCAUCCUGCAUCUCGUGCCUCACAAUGUUUUGAUAUUAUUCAUAGUGAUGUUUGGGGGAUUGCACCUAUUGUUUCUCAUGCACAUUACAAGUACUUUGUUACUUUCAUUGAUGACUUUAGUCGCUCUACUUGGGUUUACUUCCUCCGGGCUAAGGCUGAAGUUUUUUUAGUCUUUAAGUGCUUUCUUGUACUUAUUGAGACUCAAUUCUCCACCAGCAUCAAGGUCUUGCACUCUGAUUCAAGCGGCAAAUACAUGUCAAAUGAGUUUCAAGACUUUCUUCAAAGCAAAGGGAUCAUCUCUCAGCGUUCUUGUCCUUCGACACCACAACAAAACAGUGUUGCUGAGAGGAAAAAUCGCCACCUUCUUGAUGUGCUAAGAACUCUUUUACUUGACUCAUCUGUUCCUCCUCGUUUUUGGUGUGAAGCACUUUCUACUGCAGUUCAUUUGAUCAAUCGCUUACCCUCUCCUAUGUUAAAUCAUGUUUCUCAUUUCUCUAAGUUGUUUGGUCAUUCUCCUUUAUAUUUUAAUCUUCGUACAUUUGGUUGUGUUUGUUUUGUGCAUCUCCCUACUCAUGAACGACAUAAACUUACUGCUCAGUCUGUUAAGUGUGCUUUUCUUGGUUAUGCUAUCCCUCACAAGGGUUAUGUUUGUUAUGAUCCCCAUGCUCGUUGUAUACGAGUUUCCCGGAAUGUGAUUUUCUUUGAAAAUCAAUAUUUCUUUCCAUCUCAUGUUGAGUUGCCAUCUACAUCUGUAUCUCUUCUGUCUAGUUUUUCUGAAUCCCCAACAAUUGUGGAACGAUUCAAACCUGGUUUUGUGUAUGAAAGACGUAGUCGACAUGAGUCUGGUUCCACUUCCUCUGUGCCCUCUUCCGAUCUUGACCCAACGCCUAAUCCUGCUCUUGCUUCCACCACUCUUCGCCGGUCUACUCGUCUUUCUCGACCCCCUGAUUGGUAUGGAUUCUUCUCUCCUGUCUCUCUUGUUGCUACUUUAUCCACUAUUUCUAUUCCCUCUUGCUACAAACAGGCCAUGGAACAUGAGUGUUGGCAAAAUGCAAUGCAAGCAGAACUUCAAGCACUUAAGGAGAAUCAUACUUGGGAUAUUGUUCCUUGUCCUCCUACAGUCAAACCUAUUGGGAGUAAAUGGGUUUUCUCUACAAAACUUUGUUAUGAUGGCUCUUUGGACCGGUACAAAGCUCGCCUUGUAGCUUUGGGUAACAAGCAAGAAUAUGGGGUUGAUUAUGAGGAGACAUUUGCUCCUGUUGUCAAAAUGACCACGGUUUGAACCAUCUUAGCCAUUGCCGCUUCACAGUCAUGGCAACUGCAUCAAAUGGAUGUGAAGAAUGCUUCUCUUCAUAGUGAUCUCCAGGAAGAGAUUUACAUGAAGCUUCCCACUGGUAUGACUAAGUCUUCUCCUCAUGAUGUCUGUAAGCUAAAACAUUCUUUGUAUGGGCUUAAGCAGGCGCCUUGGGCUUGGUUUGAGAAGUUUCGCAAUACAAUUCUUUCCUCCAGUCUUACCCAAAGUCAGUAUGAUUCUUCCCUCUUCUUCCACACGUCUGUGUUGGGUAUAGUCAUUCUCUUGGUUUAUGUGGAUGGUAUUAUCAUUAUUGGCACUAAUUGUGAUUUGAUUACUAAGCUUCAACAGUUGUUAUAUACAACUUUCCAUAUCAAAGAUCUUGGACAGCUCACAUACUUCUUAGGAUUGGAAGUUCAUCAUCGGGCCAAUGGUAUUUUCGUGAACCAGCAUAAGUAUAUUCAAGAUUUUAUCACUUUGGCUGGUUUGGAGGACACUUCCUCUGUUGAUACUCCUAUGGAGGUAAAUGUCAAAUACAAGAAAGAUGAAGGGGACCUUCUGGAUGAUCCUACUCUCUAUCGGCGCUUGGUUAGGAGUCUUAUCUACUUGACCACUACUCGACCUGAUAUCUCCUAUGUUGUGCAUCAGGUCAGUCAGUUUAUGUCUUCUCCUCGGCAUCUCCAUCUUGCUGCAGUUCGAAGCAUCAUCCGCUAUCUUCGAGGUUCACCUACUCGUGGAUUGUUCUUUCUCUUCAACUUGUUGCCCAUAGUGAUGUUGAUUGGGCUGGGUGUCCAAAUACACGUCGAUCUACUACAGGUUGGUGUAUGUUUUUAGGUGAUGCCUUAAUUUCUUGGAGAUGUAAGAAACAAGACCGUGUUUCUAAAUCCUCUACUGAGGCCCAGUAUCGUGCCAUGUUUACUGCUUGUUCUGAAAUUAUAUGACUACGCGGUCUUCUUGAGGAGCUUGGGUUUCCUCAGACUACUUCUACCCCUCUUCAUGCUGAUAACACUAGUGCUAUUCCAAUUGCCACCAAUCCCGUUUUCCAUGAACGCACCAAGCACAUUGAGGUUGAUUGUCAUUCUAUUCGAGACACCUUGGAAAGUCGGGUGAUAUCUCUUCCUCACAUCUCUUAUGAUCUCCAAGUGGCUGAUGUCUUCACCAAAGCUUUGACUCGACAAUGGCAUCAAUUUCUUGUUGGCAAAUUGUUGCUAGUUGACUUACCAGCAUCAAUUUGAGGGGGGAUGUUAAUGUUACCAUAUACAAUUUAGGAAGUUAUAUAAUUUAGGACUCUAUCAAUAUUAGCUGUACAGAUUGGCUUACCAUGUAUAGAUGCUGAAUAUUAGGAAUGAGUUAGACUCCACGUAUAGCAUAUACUUCUGUAUAUAGAUGGAUGCAGAGUAUAAUAUAGGUGAGGUGAGGUGAGUUCUCGGUUUCUGUGGGGUUUUCUGUUUUCUGAGUGUUUGACAUGUUUCCAUUUUCAAAAUCCAAUAUUUUGAUGAAAUUUAAAUUUUAACAGUAGUCAAACCGGACUGAACUGGACAGAAGGUCACACUGAAAGCAAAAUGUAAAAUUUCACCACAGCUCCAGGUCCAAAUUAAAACAACCUUCAAUACGAUAAACUAUUCAACUUCUGUUCAGAGAUAAUACGAG